GAGUAUUUCCUAAGUUGUGUUUUAGUAAUGUUUCAGGUGUAAUAGAACCGAAUUCUUGAGAUAAAUGAAGGUGGACACAAGAAGAAGAAGAAAACAUUUCAAGGUGGGAGCUUGUGUGUCAACUCUCUUCUUACUUCACCAUAUUCUUUCUAGUUUUGGGGAAAUCUGUGCUGAAAAGACUUACCAAUUGAAAGCAACAAGAAUUGACAUUACCUGACCAAGACAUGACCAGAAACUGACAGUCACUUGCCACAACACCUCAGAGUAAAGAUGAGACUCAGCCGGGACACUGCAGCUCACAGACUCCUUGGUUCAGCCUGGCAGAUGAUGGUUUAUACAUUGCCCAGUGUGCAGAGGAAGAGGAACCCCAGUGGGGAAUCCAUACUGCAAGACAUCGGUUGAAGGAAGAACAGGAUUGAUGCAGGAGAGUGAAGGAUUGCCUUCUGCCUUGAUGCAAGAAAGCUCAUACCACCACUUCACUCCUGCCUUGACAGCUGAUUUAUGCUGCAGCCCACCAGUCCCUUCAAGUCUGGGGAGCCAGCAGGGACCAGCAGGUGAUCACUGCAGGAGCAUAGAUAUAAAUGGGCUGGCAGGAGUUGAAGCCAUGCUGAAGGAGAGGAUGAUGAACACUGGCAGAAUUGGAUCUUCUACGAUCAUGGAUGAGGUGGAGGAUGAACCAGGUGCCAGGUGAAGUGAAGUGCCAUCAUAGUUGAAGAAGAGGACCCAGCUCUUCAGUUGUCAACCCUGUGUCUUCAAGUACAAGUGGAGUGACUGAAGUGAAGUGGAUGAUGGCCUUUAUCAUCACAGUUAGCGAAUGUUGGAGAACCGGAGAGCUACUCGUCAGCCCAGCACUGCAUGGGAGGCUGGGAACACCUCUCAGCUCCAGCAUCCAGCAGCCUUUUCCCUCCAUGGAAAAAGAGGUGUACAAGUUUCAGAAAUUGCUUGUUGUGUUGAAAGAAUAAAGUUCAUUAUAAUCUGCCUUAUAA